rnacentral:ncRNA from 2 species
AAAAGGUGAACCUGCGGAAGGAUCAUUA